GGUCUACUCCCUCCGUUCCGAAUUAUUUGUCUUGGAUUUUUCUAGAUACGGAUGUAUCUAGACUUAUUUUAGUGUUAGAUACCUCCGUAUCUAGACAAAUCUAAGACAAGUAAUUCGGAACGGACGGAGUAGAAG
rfam:Triticum aestivum genome assembly, contig: Triticum_aestivum_CS42_TGACv1_scaffold_289977_4AL